UAAUUAUUUUUGAUGAAUUAAAUGCAAAUUUAUAUUCGAAAUUAUGAGUAAACAUAAUGCAUAACAUUUCAAAUAUGUCUAUCAUAGCUGUAAAAUAUUGCAGUUUUUCUAUUUUGUUGACUAUAAAAGUCCCUUAGAUUCCCUAUGUGUAAAAUAUUUAGUACAUUAUGCAAAAAUUAUUCUGGAAUUUAUAUUAUUUCAUAAAAUCUACUGGAUUUGUUUCUUUUCCGUGUUGGCAGCUAUGAUUUAAAUACUCGUACUAACAAAAAUCAUUGGUUUAAUUGUUAGCUUUAUUAAAUUUGUUGCAAUAAAUAUUUAUUACUUCUAAUUAACAAUUUUGGUAAAAAAACCUUUUUUUAAGAGAACAAAAAUCUUCAAAAAGAGUUAUCGAGAAUAAUGGCCUAUUAGCUUGAGUGAAUAACUGUUGCUCUGAAUAAACCCUUCUGAGCACAAUGAAUUUUUAUUCAAACUAACCAAAGUUGUUUUGUAAGAAGUAAGUAUUUUUUUGAAUUAGUUACUAUAAAAGUGCGAUAUCAUACAUUGUUACCUAAUUUUAAUUAUAAAUGCUAAUUCUUAAAACUAUGUUAACUAGGAAACAUCUUUGGUUGAUAUAUGUAGAUUUUUUGCACAUUGAAUUUUCAGGGUUUUUCACUUUGUGUCACAAUCACCCCUGAUUACAUUAACUAUGCAUGAUAAACAGUUCUAUUUAAUGUAACAAAUUAAUUAAACUUCUUUUGAAAUUAAUCUUUUCAAACAGUUAUUGUAAAUAAGAACUAACUAGUUUGUGUGAGUAAUAAUCAGUUACUUCAGUAACUUACUUAAGUAACUUCACUCAAUAGACUAUAUAUCAUAUUACCAAUUUGUAUUGGGAAAUAUGAAAUAUCAAUAACUAAUAUUAUAGUAUUCCAUAUCAUAUCAUUUCAUAUUAAUUUUGUCAUAUUAACCAUCCCUUUUAUUUAUAAAUUAUAUGAUUUUAUGCUUGCUAUCUAAUUUAUACUAUAUUAUGAUGUUCACUGUAAAAAAAUUUGAAUUUUUCUUAUUAUGUUAUUUAAACCUAUCUAUCAAACUGACAUAAAUUUGAAAUACUUUAGUUUUAAUUUAUUGAACAAAUCAUCUAAAACAUAAAUAUUAUAUAUAGGCGUUUUUUCAACUACGAGUUGGGAAAUAAUUUUUAAUUGUGAUUUCUGGUUAGGUUCUGCUCUCAAAAAUUCGAUCUUAUCAUGAUUAUUUGUUUCUGAUCUUCUGAAAUAUUUUUUAAACUCUUAACAUUUUUCUAAGUAUUAACAUAAAAAUUUUUUUUUAUUGAAUAGUUAUUUUUAUAUACUGUAAUUUGUAUGCUGUUAUGAUUAGUUUCCAUUUUUUAGAUUCUCCCUAUUAAAAAUUUUCAUUUUUUUUUAUUAAGUUAGAUAUGUUGUAUUUUUUUUAUUUGGUGUGACAGGAGGAAAAGUGUAUUUGUUUGCAUUUAGUAAAACUUUGUUUUUUUAAAGUAUCUUAUAAAUUAAAAAAUUUUUAAUAACUCUUUAGUAUAUUCUUUCUCCUGCUUUGCAUUUCUGAUUUUCGCAAAUUUUCCAGUUACAAAAAAAUUUCAUUUAAAGUGUUUUUAACAACUUUUUAGUUUAUUUCAUGACAUUUGACAUUAAUGUAAUGUACAAAAUAUUUUUAAAAAUUGUAACCUUCUAAUUAAUGGAUUAAUGUUAUAAUUUUUUCAAAAAUAGUGAUAUUUUCUAUCAAUUUCAAUAAUGUCAAUGUAGUACAAUCACUUUUCAUUUGUCAAAAACCUUUUUUAUAAAAUUACACCAAAUGUUAAUUCAUAUUUUCUGUAGCAAAAUUAAACAAUUAUGUAAUUUAUGAGCUUUAAAUAAAUUAUUUUUAUUAUUUGUCUGUAUUAUUUUUCUUGAAAAUAAUGUUACUGCACCUCAUCUCUCAAUCGUUAAAAGUUGAUAAAACUGAAAUUUCUUUCAUUCUAACUGUUCAAAAUCAUUAACCAGUAGAAUAAUUUACCACAGUCUAAAUUUUAUUCUAACUGCUGGUACUUUGAAUGGCAGAUUGCUAGGUGGAUUAUUCAAUGAACCUGUGAAACUGAUUAUGAUAUUUUCAUGAUUAUGUUGUUUUUUAAAUAUUUAUGUAUUGAGUUACAUAUUUACAAAGAAAGAGUUUUAAGUUAGCAGAAGGAGAGGACAAAAGUUCAUUUUUAUUUCCGUAUUUAAUUCUAAUACAUUUUGCAGAUUUUUGAAUUAACUUAUUGGUACAUACAGAAUUUUUAAAAAAUAAUCUCUGUCUGAAAAAUUACUAGCGCUUUAUUAUUCUUUAAUACUGCUGAUGAGAAUUGCUGCUUAGACUCCAGAUUAUCGUGACAAACCCAAGUCUCAUUCCCAGCAACAAUACAACACAGCACUUCAAAUUUUGACAAAAUUUGCCCCACAAUGCUAAAGAACAUCAUAUAUUUUCUAAUUAUGCGUAUUAGUAGAUGGAUAUAUACUAUAAUAUUUAUACAAAUAAUUAGUUACUAAACACAUGACUACAUAUAGGAGUUUCUUAUUUAACAUUUAAUUUUGCCAUUCUGUGAACUUAAAACUUCCUAAUGUAUGAAUGUAUUAUUUUUUAAUCUUUCAUGUUCUUUGUUAUUUUGUAAGAGUUUUUCUAUGCUAUCGAAAAUUUAUAAAGUUAAACAUUGAUUUUCAGAGUUUUUAUGUAUUUAAAUGUUUUCAAACUGUAAAGAUGAAUAUAUUUAUGAUUAAUCUCAAAACUUUUUAUUUGUAAAAUCAUAACUUCUGCAUUUAAAAUCACUUUAUUCCAUGCUUAUUUUUACAGGUGGUGGCAGCAGUUCUCAUUUAAGUGCAUACGUAUGUUCUGAUACAGUUUUAGGCAACAAGAUUCGUGGCAGUGUGACGUUGGACCAGAAUACAUUUAUGUGUACCAAUGUCUUCUUCCAGAAUCAUUCUCGUAAACUCUAUCGUUGCCUCUUUUGCAAACACUCCAGUUUUGAUCUCUUUGGAAUGAGGAUGCAUGUUCGAAUUCACACGGGAGAGAAGCCUUUCCACUGCAAGAUGUGUGGAAAUAUUAAAUCAUUACGUCGCAGUACAGAAGUUGCAAUAAGGGCAGAGUCUUACCUAUUGUUUCCUGUGAGGAGAGUUGUUAUCGACAAUGUCAACCUUCAUCUAUGAUAAGGAAAUACUGAAUCAUUACAUCACUGUACAGAAGUUGCAAUGGGGAAAGGCAGAGUCUUACGUCGAUGCAAUUUGUGCAACUAUUCUACAUCACAUUUAAAUGAUAUGAGAAGACACAUUAGAAUACAUACUGGUGAACGUCCAUAUGUUUGCCCCUUGUGUAAAAAGGGAUUUUCCAGAAGGAGUACUCUGAAAGACCAUAUGAUAACACAUGUUUCUUUGGUAUAAUUCAUGUUAGAAUGUAUAAGAUUUGGUAAAUUGUCCAAGAUUUCAAAAUGCAGGGUUUUCUCUGAGUGCCACCUUAUAUAUAUAUUGUUUUUUUAUAUUGCUUCAAAAAAUGAACGUGUAUAUAUAAGACUCUGCAAUACCUGUGGAUCUUUCUUUUUAUUGUGAUUAGCUUAAUUAAAGCAAAUAAGAUGCCUUUGUGUUUUCUCCCUUAGAUAGGGAUUUAAACCCCAAUAAUUUUAAACAGUAAAUAAUUUUAGACAAGGUAACUGGUUUACUUGUAAUGAUUGUUAUGUUAUAUAGUCAUUAUUCGGAUGUGUGAUGCUGGAAAAAACUGAACCAUUAAUACAGUCAAACCUCGCUAACGUGGAAUUGGCGGGACUAUCAUAAUUAUUUCAUGUUAACCGAAUUUUAUUCUAUCCGAUACAUCAUGAAAACAACUUAAGUAUUAUUAAUACAUGUUAUGAACUGUAUUAAUGUAUACAUACAAUACUAUCAUGAACCAAACAAAUCAAAAUAAGCUUAAAAGUUUUAACUAUUUUAUUAUUUUAUUUAUUUGCCCAUCUGCUACUUCUAACAAAGGAAGAAAUAGAAAUAGCAUUAUUCAAAAUGAAUGAGUGGGAUUUUAUUCACGUGCUUAUUAUCUGUCCCUUCUCUUUUCAUGUUAAGCAAUAAUCAGCUUGAAAAUUUCAUGUUAAGCAUGUAAAGUACAACAAUAAUUGAUUGCUGUUUCACGGGACCAAUCAUUCAUUUCAUGUUAAGCAGUUUCAGGUUAAUGAAGUUCGACUGUAUUAUAAAAAUUUAAAGACUAAGAUAGGAACAUAUGUAUAAAGAGUACAUUAAAAACUUUCUCUGUAUAAGAAUUGCCAGCGAUAAAUUGAGAACACUAUCAUAGUAGAUUUUGUAUAUUAACAAUAUCAUUCAAUUUAUAUAUAUAAAUUCUUGAUUGAAUUUUAAUACAGUCAUUAGCAAAAUUCUUUUUUUCUU
rnacentral:sRNA from 1 species